rnacentral:rRNA from 1 species
GGGGAAUAUUGGACAAUGGGCGCAAGCCUGAUCCAGCCAUACCGCGUGGGUGAAGAAGGCCUUCGGGUUGUAAAGCCCUUUUGUUGGGAAAGAAAUCCAGCCGGCUAAUACCUGGUUGGGAUGACGGUACCCAAAGAAUAAGCACCGGCUAACUUCGUGCCAGCAGCCGCGGUAAUACGAAGGGUGCAAGCGUUACUCGGAAUUACUGGGCGUAAAGCGUGCGUAGGUGGUCGUUUAAGUCUGUUGUGAAAGCCCUGGGCUCAACCUGGGAACUGCAGUGGAAACUGGACGACUAGAGUGUGGUAGAGGGUAGCGGAAUUCCUGGUGUAGCAGUGAAAUGCGUAGAGAUCAGGAGGAACAUCCAUGGCGAAGGCAGCUACCUGGACCAACACUGACACUGAGGCACGAAAGCGUGGGGAGCAAACAGGAUUAGAUACCCUGGUAGUCCACGCCCUAAACGAUGCGAACUGGAUGUUGGGUGCAAUUUGGCACGCAGUAUCGAAGCUAACGCGUUAAGUUCGCCGCCUGGGGAGUACGGUCGCAAGACUG